UGUGUUAGAGCUCAGGGUUGAGAUCAUGUGAUCUAUCCGGGUUUCUAACACACU
ensembl:miRNA Mir7219 microRNA 7219